ACAGGAUAUACUCUGAAGACAGUGAUAUAAAAGUUCAAGGUUUGCCUGUUCAGAUACUUCUAUAAUAAAGAAUGGGUGAAAAAAUUCUCACAUCAUGCUGCAAAACAGUACAUUUCAGCUGUAACAAAACAAAUCAUCUGAUGAAAGCUUCAACCACAAGAAGGAAAGGAUGUCAAUUAAGUCCAAA